rnacentral:rRNA from 1 species
UACGAAGGGGGCUAGCGUUGCUCGGAAUCACUGGGCGUAAAGCGCACGUAGGCGGAUCUUUAAGUCAGGGUGAAAUCCUGGAGCUCAACUCCAGAACUGCCUUUGAUACUGGGGAUCUCGAGUCCGGAAGAGGUGAGUGGAACUCCGAGUGUAGAGGUGAAAUUCGUAGAUAUUCGGAAGAACACCAGUGGCGAAGGCGGCUCACUGGUCCGGUACUGACGCUGAGGUGCGAAAGCGUGGGAGCAAACAGG